GGGGGGGGGAAGAACUGUCUAGAGUUUGCAGUCAGUCCCCCAGAAUAACAGAAGCACACUUCUAUAUCACUUCAUAGACUUUUUAAUGACUUUAUAGUGUUACCUUGAGUGGCACCAUCACAGACAAUUUAAACAUUUCCAUAGUUUAAGACAUUUUGGAUUCUCCAUUUUGUUUUCUGGGAUACAGCACACAGUUUUGUGGGGAGAAAACCUUUCUAUUUGAGCUUACUAAUAAAAUCUUAGUCUAGAAUCACAGAAAUUAAAAGUUUAUAAAAAUUUUGAGGGGAGCCCGAGUGGCUCAGUCAGUUGAGUGUCCACCUCUUGAUUUUGGUUCGGGUAAUGAUCCCAGCAUUGUGGGAUCAAGCCCCACCUUGAGCUCCGUGCUGAGUGUGGAGCCUGCUCGGGGUUCUCUCUCUCUCCCUCUGCCCCUCUCCCCCAGACUUGUAUGCUCUCUCUCUGACAUAAAAAAAUAAAUAAGGGGCACCUGGGUGGCUCAGUCAGUUGAGCGUCCGACUUCGGCUCAGGUCAUGAUCUCACGGCUCGUGAGUUCGAGCCCCGCAUUGGGCUCUGAGCCUGGAGCCUGCUUCAUAUUCUGGUUCUCUCUCCCUCUCUGCCCCUCUCCUGCUCAUGUUCUCUCUCUCUCUCUGUCUGUCUCUCAAAAAUAAAAAUAAACAUUAAAAAAACUUUUUAAGUUUAUAAAUAUUUUUGUUUUUCCUUCAUUAUGUCAAAGCAUUUUGUGAGGUGCUCACGCCCAUUUCAGCCCAGGCCAGUAGUACAAGUAUGCUCAUUUCACUGCCCGGCAAUGCUGAAUACUUAAAAAAAAAAAUUCUCUGCUGAAACAAAAUAAGGAAACUCUCCACCCUCAGCAUUUCGUUGAUAUAAUUGGCAUUCACUUAAUUGCUAGUAAAGGAAGAGAGGGAGAGACCUAGAGAGAGAAACAGCGAUGUUUAUAUACUCACCCAAGUCUAGGAAACGCCCUGUCAUGUUCCUAUCUUCGAUACAGUGAGCACGCUCUGGCGAUUCCCACAGGAAAGUAACAUGUGCAAUUUUCUUGUGGCGCCAGAGUGUUUGCCUGAUUACUUGGAUCACAGAACACACUCCUUUCUUUUGCAUCGCAUCAAGUUUUGCGUGGCAUCAGCGCCUUGGAACUACCGUUUCGAGGGGGACAUUCCUGGGGAAAUGUCUUGAUAAACUGCGGUACUUUUUCUUCCUGGUGGGGAUUUCAGAGACCACGGAAAGGCGGGAGCUUCUGGUGGCUCCUGCAAACACACUUGACUUCAUGAAAGAGGAACGAAACCCGUCAACGAAGACGUACUACUUCUCUUUCCUCCAGCCUGUUCACUUUGCAGUGAGAACGUCAAGAGCUCUCCGAGGCUUCGUUUUAAGGGAUGCAUUCUUUUCUGCGAAUAGCAGGCUGGCGAUUCUCUCCUCUUCGCGGCUCUACAGCCGGACGUAGCUGACGGUGGUGCAGAGCCGAGGGGGCUGGCCGUGUGCUGGGACUUUGCUGCUGCAGGCGUGCUCUGCGGAUGAACAGCUUGUGUCCCAAGCAUCUUUCUGCUCCAAGACCUUGGCAUCCAUCUUCAAGACCACCUCAUGAUCCAAAAUGGCUACUUUAGCUCUGUGCAUCAUAUCCUUAUUCCAAGCCACAGAAGGAUAAAACAGGACUGCAGUGACCUGCUCGCACCUGAUGGCCAACCAUAUUUUCUUCAUCUCCUGCAGUGUGCUUAUCAGAAAAAUGGACCAGACCCAAUAGACAGAGCCAAUGUGACUUUGGGGAUUUUGCUCAUUGAGUAUUGUGCACAAGGGCUGGCUUACAGUACACGGAUUAGAGUUCUCUAGGCCAUCUUGAUGUUUCCGUCUGUCAGAGCAUCCAGUCCUUGGACUUAAUAAUUCCAAAUAAAAGGCCUUUCAUUUAAAUGAAAAAACAAAAAAAAACAAAAAACCAACCAAAUCACAAAUUGAACGCCACUUUCUGGAUUGUUCAAGAAACAUUAGGAUGUGUAGUAUGUUUCAGAGCUGGAUUACGAUGUGAGGGUAUAAAAAAUAUGGAACAAGAGAAAAAAUAAAAAAAGAAGAUGCUCUAGAGAAAGCAAAAUAGUCUACAAGUAUGGAAUGAUCCCAAAGCAAAGUAAUCGGGUAAAAGUCUGUAGAUUUCAAGACAUGGAUUUCACACAAUUGAUAGAAAGUAGACAAAAUGAAAUAGAAAGUAUUAUGCAUGAUUCCUAUGCAAAUAAAUUAGAAUGCAGACACACUCACAACCCUAUCUUCCCAUCUGAUACAUUCACACAGAUGAAAGUGCUCUAUAAACACUGUUCUGUGCCUCCCAUUUCUUUUAUCUUCAUAUAUAUUGUGGAAGUUUUCAUACUGGUAAAUACUAUUCCUUUUAUGUCAUUCUAGCACAUUAUUUUUCAUGGCUCAAGGCAUUUCAUUGUAUAAAUGCAUCUUAAUCUAUAUCCAUAAUCACCUAUUAAUGAACAGGUAGAUUGUUUCCAGCAUUUAAUUUUUUUUUUAUUUCUUUUCCAAGCAAUACUGCGAUGAAUAUCCCUAGCCAUAAAUCACUGAGUGCAUAUGUGGGUAUGUCUAUAGGAAAAAAAAAAUCAUUGGAGGGGACUUUCUGAGCUAAAGUAUAUUGUAAUAGAUAUUGACCUUUUGCCAAAUUGACCUUCAAAGAGGUUAUGCCAAUACAUACUCCCAUUACCACCAUGUGAAUAUCUGUUUCUGCAAAAUCUUGCCCACGCCAUGUUUUGUAAUCCUUUUAAUUGUUGCCAAUCUGUUAAGUAAAAAUAAACACAAUAUCCUGUUGUUUUAAUUUGCAUUUACUAAAUCACUAUGUGAGGUUAAGCUUCUGUUCAUAUCAUUCUGAGGGAUUUGUUUUUCUUUUUCUGAACUAAGCACAUAAUAGGUGUAUAAUAAAUAUUUGUUGAACAAUUAAAUAAA